AAGGCUAAAUACUCCUGACUGACCGAUAGUGAACCAGUACCGUGAGGGAAAGGCGAAAAGAACCCCGGCGAGGGGAGUGAAAAAGAACCUGAAACCGUGUACGUACAAGCAGUGGGAGCCUCUUUAUGGGGUGACUGCGUACCUUUUGUAUAAUGGGUCAGCGACUUAUAUUCUGUAGCAAGGUUAACCGAAUAGGGGAGCCGAAGGGAAACCGAGUCUUAACUGGGCGUUAAGUUGCAGGGUAUAGACCCGAAACCCGGUGAUCUAGCCAUGGGCAGGUUGAAGGUUGGGUAACACUAACUGGAGGACCGAACCGACUAAUGUUGAAAAAUUAGCGGAUGACUUGUGGCUGGGGGUGAAAGGCCAAUCAAACCGGGAGAUAGCUGGUUCUCCCCGAAAGCUAUUUAGGUAGCGCCUCGUGAAUUCAUCUCCGGGGGUAGAGCACUGUUUCGGCAAGGGGGUCAUCCCGACUUACCAACCCGAUGCAAACUGCGAAUACCGGAGAAUGUUAUCACGGGAGACACACGGCGGGUGCUAACGUCCGUCGUGAAGAGGGAAACAACCCAGACCGCCAGCUAAGGUCCCAAAGUCAUGGUUAAGUGGGAAACGAUGUGGGAAGGCCCAGACAGCCAGGAUGUUGGCUUAGAAGCAGCCAUCAUUUAAAGAAAGCGUAAUAGCUCACUGGUCGAGUCGGCCUGCGCGGAAGAUGUAACGGGGCUAAACCAUGCACCGAAGCUGCGGCAGCGACACUAUGUGUUGUUGGGUAGGGGAGCGUUCUGUAAGCCU
rnacentral:rRNA from 1 species